AUUGAACGCUGGCGGCAGGCCUAACACAUGCAAGUCGAGCGGAUGAAGGGAGCUUGCUCCUGGAUUCAGCGGCGGACGGGUGAGUAAUGCCUAGGAAUCUGCCUGGUAGUGGGGGAUAACGUCCGGAAACGGGCGCUAAUACCGCAUACGUCCUGAGGGAGAAAGUGGGGGAUCUUCGGACCUCACGCUAUCAGAUGAGCCUAGGUCGGAUUAGCUAGUUGGUGGGGUAAAGGCCUACCAAGGCGACGAUCCGUAACUGGUCUGAUAGGAUGAUCAGUCACACUGUAACUGAGACACGGUCCAGACUCCUACGGGAGGCAGCAGUGGGGAAUAUUGGACAAUGGGCGAAAGCCUGAUCCAGCCAUGCCGCGUGUGUGAAGAAGGUCUUCGGAUUGUAAAGCACUUUAAGUUGGGAGGAAGGGCAGUAAGUUAAUACCUUGCUGUUUUGACGUUACCAACAGAAUAAGCACCGGCUAACUUCGUG
rnacentral:rRNA from 1 species